UACGUAGGGGGCAAGCGUUGUCCGGAAUUAUUGGGCGUAAAGCGCGCGCAGGCGGUGGUUUAAGUCUGGUGUCUAAGCUCAAGGCUCAACCUUGGGACGCAUUGGAAACUGGACGACUGGAGUGUAGGAGAGGAAAGUGGAAUUCCACGUGUAGCGGUGAAAUGCGUAGAGAUGUGGAGGAACACCAGUGGCGAAGGCGACUUUCUGGCCUAUAACUGACGCUGAGGCGCGAAAGCGUGGGGAGCAAACAGG
rnacentral:rRNA from 1 species